rnacentral:rRNA from 1 species
AUGAACGCUGGCGGCGUGCCUAAUCCCUGCAAGUCGAGCGAACAGACGAGGAGCUUGCUCCUCUGAUGUUAGCGGCGGACGGGUGAGUAACACGUGGAUAACCUACCUAUAAGACUGGGAUAACUUCGGGAAACCGGAGCUAAUACCGGAUAACAUGUUGAACCGCAUGGUUCAACAGUGAAAGACGGUCUUGCUGUCACUUAUAGAUGGAUCCGCGCCGCAUUAGCUAGUUGGUAAGGUAACGGCUUACCAAGGCAACGAUGCGUAGCCGACCUGAGAGGGUGAUCGGCCACACUGGAACUGAGACACGGUCCAGACUCCUACGGGAGGCAGCAGUAGGGAAUCUUCCGCAAUGGGCGAAAGCCUGACGGAGCAACGCCGCGUGAGUGAAGAAGGUCUUCGGAUCGUAAAACUCUGUUAUUAGGGAAGAACAAAUGUGUAAGUAACUAUGCACGUCUUGACGGUACCUAAUCAGAAAGCCACGGCUAACUACGU